GACGAACGCUGGCGGCGUGCUUAACACAUGCAAGUCGUACGGUAAGGCCCUUUCGGGGGUACACGAGUGGUGAACGGGUGCGUAACACGUGAGUAACCUGCCCACAACUUUGGGAUAACGCUAGGAAACUGGUGCUAAUACUGGAUAUGUGCUCCUGCUGCAUGGUGGGGGUUGGAAAGCUCCGGCCGUUGUGGAUGGACUCGCUGCCUAUCAGCUUGUCGGUGUGGUAGUGGCCUACCAAGGCGGCGACGGGUAGCCGGCCUGAGAGGGUGACCGGCCACAUUGGGACUGAGAUGCGGCCCAGACACCUACGGGAGGCAGCAGUGGGAAAGAUUGCACAAUGGGCGCAAGCCUGAUGCAGCAGCGCCGCGUGCGGGAUAACGGUCUUCGGGUUGUAAACCGCAUUCAGCAGGGACGAAGCUUUUUGUGACGGUACCUGCAGAAGAAGCACCGGCUAACUACGUG
rnacentral:rRNA from 1 species